UCAGUUCCAUGUCAGAACCAACAACAAUGCUCUCAUCAGUACUGCUGCUGCUGGUAACAGCUGCUUUCUGUGGUGUUGGCUGUGUGGAGCUCACUCAGCCAGCCUCUGUGGUGGUCAAACCUAGAGAGUCAUUCUCCAUCUCCUGUAAGAUCUCAGAGUCAAGUUACUGUAUUCACUGGAUACGGCAACCCACUGGAAAAGCUUUGGAAUGGCUUGGCUAUCUGUGUAGCCAUGGUGGCACUAAUCUCAAAGACACAGUGAAGAAUAAGAUCAGUUUCAGCCAGGACACAUCCAGCAGCACUGUUUUUUUAAGAGGCCAAAACUUUGAGAUUGAAGACACAGCUGUAUAUUACUGUGCCAGAGAGUCACAGCAUUACACAUAUACAGCAGGCCUGUACAAAAACAACCCCUGA